AUUUGAUCUCAAAUCAGG
rnacentral:rRNA from 1 species